GUCNNNNANNNCUUGUUUGCNNNNNNUGAAGUACUGAAGAAAUAAGCAUCGCUAACUCCGUGCCAGCANCGCGUAAUACGGAGGAUGCAAGCGUUAUCCGGAUUCAUUGGGUUUAAAGGGUGCGCAGGCGGACUGAUAAGUCAGUGGUGAAAUCCUACGGCUCAACCGUGGCACUGCCAUUGAUACUGUCAGUCUUGAGUAUAGUUGAAGUGGGCGGAAUGUAGCAUGUAGCGGUGAAAUGCAUAGAUAUGCUACAGAACACCAAUAGCGAAGGCAGCUCACUAAGUUAUAACUGACGCUCAUGCACGAAAGCGUGGGGAUCAAACAGGAUUAGAUACCCUGGUAGUCCACGCUGUAAACGAUGAUCACUCGUUGUUGGCAAUACAUCGUCAGCGACUAAGCGAAAGUGAUAAGUGAUCCACCUGGGGAGUACGGUCGCAAGAUUGAAACUCAAAGGAAUUGACGGGGGCCCGCACAAGCGGUGGAGCAUGUGGUUUAAUUCGAUGAUACGCGAGGAACCUUACCUGGGCUCAAACGCAUGAUGACGUAUGGUGAAAGCUAUAUUUCUUCGGACAUUAUGCGAGGUGCUGCAUGGUUGUCGUCAGCUCGUGCCGUGAGGUGUCGGGUUAAGUCCCAUAACGAGCGCAACCCCUAUCAUUAGUUGCCAUCAGGUCAAGCUGGGGACUCUAAUGAAACUGCCUACGCAAGUAGUGAGGAAGGCGGGGAUGACGUCAAAUCAGCACGGCCCUUACGUCCAGGGCUACACACGUGCUACAAUGGCCAGUACAAAGGGCAGCUACCUGGUGACAGGAUGCUAAUCUCAAAAGCUGGUCUCAGUUCGGAUCGAAGUCUGCAACCCGACUUCGUGAAGCUGGAAUCGCUAGUAAUCGCGCAUCAGCCAUGGCGCGGUGAAUACGUUCCCGGGCCUUGUACACACCGCCCGUCAAGCCAUGGAAGCUGGGGGUACCUGAAGUCGGUGAUCCAUUCGUGGAAGCUGCCUAGGGUAAACUUAGUAACUGGGGCUAAGUCGUAACAAGGUAGC
rnacentral:rRNA from 1 species